AACGAACGCUGGCGGCAGGCCUAACACAUGCAAGUCGAACGGACUCUUCGGAGUUAGUGGCGCACGGGUGAGGAACACGUGGGAACAUACCCUUUGGUAGGGAAUAAUGUCUGGAAACGGACACUAAUACCCUAUAAUGACUUCGGUCCAAAGAUUUAUCGCCAAAGGAUUGGCCCGCGCAUGAUUAGAUAGUUGGUGAGGUAAUGGCUCACCAAGUCUACGAUCAUUAGCUGGUCUGAGAGGAUGAUCAGCCACACUGGAACUGAGACACGGUCCAG
rnacentral:rRNA from 1 species